GUGGCCUACAUAAACUAAGAUAUUUAUUUCUGGUGCUUUAGGGAAUAGGUUUGCCAACCUCUGGUCUACUAUAACAAUAACAACAUAUUCUUAGAAUGCAGUAAGUAGGAAGUAACAGUGGUUUGGAUGACUGGUAAUACAAGAAUAAAACGUAUAGGUAGUGGCUAAUUUUCAAAUUUGGCAUUAGGCUGAUUUCAUUAUUAAUCAAUAGUUUAUAUACUAUCAAAACCCAGGGGUCAUCCAAAGAACCGAACUUAAACCUAGAUGAAGUAAUUGACAAGUCUUAGUUUGUCUCCCUUUCAGGGAGAGGGAGUGCUUUCUUUUACUGAAUAAGAGAGAAUUGUAUAAUUUUAAAAGGCACAGGUCAACUGUAUAGUUUAAAGAAAUAUAUGUUUACUUUCUUUCUUUCUUUUUUUCUUUUCUUUUUUUUUUUUUUUUUUUUGAGACAGAGUCUUGCUCUGUCGCCCAGGCUGGAGUGCAGUGGCACGAUCUCGGCUCACUGCAACCUCUGCCUCCCGGGUUCAAGUGAUAUUCCUGCCUCAGCCUCCUGAGUAGCUGGGAUUAUAGGCACGUGCCACCACGCCCGGCUAAUUUUUUGUAUUUUUAGUAGAGACGGGGUUUCACCGUAUUAGCCAGGCUGGUCUCCAUCUCUUGAUCGGCUAAUUUUUUGUAUUUUUAGUAGAGACGGGGUUUCACCAUGUUAGCCAGGCUGGUCUCCAUCUCCUGACCUGGUGAUCUACCCACCUCAGCCUCCCAAAGUGCUGGGAUUACAGGUGUGAGCCACCGCGCCCAGCCUGUUCAGGGAAAUAUAUGUUUAAAUGUAUGUUUAGUAAAGGCUGUAUUUUGAUGUUGAAUAGCAAAAGGUGGGAUGUUAAGAGAACCGGUCAUGUCUGUAAUCUGUGUUUGCAUUCAACGUGUUUGGAUAUCACAUCCUAAGUUUGUGGUUUUGCAUAUUUGACUUGCACAUCCCCAGAAAGGCAUAACUCAUUUUUCCAGCCUCCCUUGCUGCUACUGUUCAGGCAUAUGACCCUGGCUUCACCAAUAUCCUACAUGUAUAAGUAGGAUUGUUAUUUGAAGGAAGAAUACACGUAUUCAUAGUUUUGACAAGCACAACAGUGGCGGUAUCAAGGUCUUUAGAGG
rnacentral:lncRNA from 10 species